UGCUUACUUUUCCGAAUCAUGUGAUCAGUUAGUUCACUUGGAUAUUUACAGACAUUUUCAAACCGAUUUUAAUGAUCGUCCGACAACGAAAGAUAUAGUAUUAAGAGUUUAUACGAUAUCCUGCUGAGCCGAAACUCUACAGAGAGUUAUUUAUUUGACUUUAUAGUUGACUUUCCUGUUAAUUAAUUUCCAUUGUCUGUGAUAUAGUUUUUAAUUCAACAUGGGACCCGCAGUUGAAAGAAUUGAUUUCCACAAUUCCUCGACAGGAAAGCCAGCCAACCUGCAAAAUUCUGCUGUUUUACGCUUACUCGAAGAAGAGGAGAACAGACGUGGUGGACGCCCUGG
rnacentral:lncRNA from 1 species